GGCCGGUUAGCUCAAAUGGAUAGAGCGAUGCUUUCCUAAGGCAAGGGUUGUGGGUUCAAGUCCCACACCGGCCU
rnacentral:tRNA from 1 species